AGUGAACGCUGGCGGCGUGCCUAAUACAUGCAAGUCGAACGAGUGGCGCACGGGUGAGUAAUAUAUAGCUAACUUGCCCAUUACUAAGGGACAACAGUUGGAAACGACUGCUAAUACCUUAUAGUAAUGGAUAGGGCUAUAUCGUAUCAGCUAGUUGGUAAGGUAACGGCUUACCAAGGCUAUGACGCGUAACUGGUCUGAGAGGAUGAUCAGUCACACUGGAACGGAGACACGGUCCAGACUCCUACGGGAGGCAGCAGUGAGGAAUAUUGGUCAAUGGGCGAGAGCCUGAACCAGCCAAGUAGCGUGCAGGACGACGGCCUAUGGGUUGUAAACUGCUUUUAUGCGGGGAUAGGUACCGCAUGAAUAAGGACCGGCUAAUUCCGUGCCAGCAGCCGCGGUAAUAC
rnacentral:rRNA from 1 species